GCUGAAAUAAAUCAGGGACAAAUUAAGAACAAAUAUAUAAAAUUUUGCAUGAAUAAGAUAUGCAUAAUUUAACUGUCAUUAAAAUAAAGAAAAAAAAAAGAAGAUAAGAUAGAAUAUUAAUCAUUUUUUUAAAUUAUCAUUUUUAAUAAAAUUAUCAUCAUGUUACAGUAGUAGUGAACACUUUUUAAGAAAUUGAUUAUAUUGUUUUAGAAAUCUAUUGUUGAAUAAUGUUUCCAUCGUGCCUGAUCCCAUGUUAUAAUCGAUCAACGGUAAGGAAUCGUGAAAUUGGUCGUGGUCAAGAUGUAUAUACGUCGAUUUCUCGUGGAUGUUACUCGAUAUUGAACGCGAGAAAGUGUGGACUACAAGUAUUGUUCGACCGCCGGAACUGAAAUCAACACCCUGAACUUCGACAGUGCUUCACGCGAUCGGUGUCGAUUUUCCAAUGUGGUCGCAUUGACACGGAUAUGCGCGAUAGAAAAAUCAACAAUUUCAGGUCAGAUGACUAUCAAUCGAGUACGAAGAAAUAGAAUGAGCCACCCUUCCCAUUCGAGGUUAAACCAAUCUGUGCAAAGAAGGAUAUGCACCACCCUUCUAGAAUCUUGCACAGUCAUGUAUAAAAAUUUAUACAUCUAGCUACACGUGGAAUGGAAUUUUAUAAAUCUUUUUCAUUCAAAAUAAAAUUUUUUUCGAUCAAAUCAAGAUCGAUAUAAAUUAUUUGAAUACAAAAAAAGGAAAAGAAGGAAAUGGAAAAGAUUACGAAUAAUUGCUAACGAUGAGAUCUUUUUUUUAAAAAUAAUGAACGAAUCUCAAAAAAAAACUCACCCCAUGUUUUCCAAUGCCCUUGUACUCUGUACAAUAAUAAAAAAAAAACAGAUUAAAGAAUUAAUUAAUCAGAGAUUACUGCAGAACAUGGAAUCAGUGAUGGUGCUCUCGCAACUGCUGCUCGUUGUGCUUUCCUGUGAAAUCUAGUGUUAGAUCUCGCGAUAAGAUACGCGGCCUACGUGGAAAGUCGAUCUCGAUUUCGCUCGAUAAUCUUCUAUGAUCAGUUGAAACUGACAUUUUCAUUCGAUUUUCAAUUUGUAUUUUUGAUAAAAUAAAUUCUUUUCCAAUAUAAAUCGUUUUCCAAUGUAAAAAUUGAUCGAUUAAAAUCGACAAAAAUAUUUUAAUUCUCAUCGAUGAUUUAUCAUUUCAGGAAAAUCGUAAAAUAAAUAUUUUAUUAUUAUCACAAUAUUUAUAUUCUUUCUCUUAUUCUUAUAUUUCUUUUUCUCUGAUAAAUACAAAUUGAAAAUAUGUACAGAUACGAGAUUUGUAUUGAUUAUAAAGAUAUUGAUGACAUUGAUCGAUAAAAAUAAUGAUGGAUCGAAAUAUUGUUAAUAACAUCAGAUUUUUAUAUAUCCUUUUAUUAGAUCAGAUUUUAUUUAACAGAUUUUUAUAAAUGAGUAUUCUUUUAAAAAUAUCAUUUGGUAAAAUGGAACAUUACGUAAAUGUUACUCGAUUUUGUGACCUAAUUGAUCGUCGAACCAAUUAAAGCUAAAGAAAAGAUUAACUGCUUCGAAUUCUUCUGUGGAAUUCUUUUUUUCAAUUCUUUUGUGACGCAUCUUACAUUCUUAAAAUUUAUUCUAAAAAAAGAUGAUGAUGUCAUAUCACAUUAUUGAUCAAUAUAGAGAACAAAUAAUCGAUUAAUGCAAUGUGAUGAAAGAAAUUAUAAGAUCGAAUAUGAUAUGCUCGAAAAUUGUACCAAUUAAUCAACGGCACGUUACUAUAAACGCGAGCUGUAAAUCGCGGUCAUUGCCGUUUCGGAUGCUUCUAAGAAUACAGAUUCUUUCGUCAUGGUAAGAAGAUUAUUUGGAAAGAGAUCGUUAAGAAAGUAAUUACAUGGGACGACUCGUUUAAUUAAAUGAAAGGAAUAGUAUUAUAUUUAUGAAAUUUUUAAAAAUAUUUUAUUAUUUAAUCAAAGCUAUCGAAUUAUAAAAAAAAUAUAAAAAUAUAUAAUGUUAUUAUUAUAUUAUUAUUAUUAAAAUUUAAAUAAAAAAAUGAAUUUUUAUAUAAAAAAAGAUUGGCAUUCUUGGAAAAAUUAUUAUCAAAAAAAAAAUGUACAAGAUUAAAAUGAUAUACUGAUAUUGAUUAUAUUGAUAAAAGAAUUAUCAAAAUUGUAAAUUAAAUGACAUGCUCUGUAUUAACUAAUUCAGAUCAAAAAUGUAACAAGUUUCAUAAUUAAAAUUGUCCAAAUAAAAAACAAAAAAAUAACAGAAAUUGUAUAAGAUGUUCAUAUAUUAUUGGUAAAAAUUCUAUUGCAAGAUGUUCUCCCUUAUCAAUACGAGAUUAACUAUUAUCGAAGUUCAAUUAAAAAUGAAGAUAUCCACAAAUGAUUCGAUCAUCAUAGUUUAUAUGAUUUUUUUACGUGUUUAGAUGCCGCAAUGCUUUUCAACUCGUAUCAUUUUUUCAUUCGCACUAUUUUUUAUCAUAUUAUCAAAAUUAGUGAAAAACGAAUAUGAAACGAAACGAAAAGUUCUUCAAACAAAUCAAGAAAAAAUUUCUUCUUUCAAAUCGAUCACUUCCGUUCUUCUCCUAUUGACGAACAUUAUUUUUAGUUUCGAGCUUUUCCAGCAGAAAAUAUUCGCGAUCAGAAAACAAAAAAAACUCGCGACCUCGAUUUUUCGAAACACGUCACUUGUGUUCUUCAGUUCUUAUCGAGUCAUGAAUUGUUAAUUGGACGUUACGUAUUAUCGACUUUUCAGUAAUCGUACAAUUUACACACUAACUACACCGUGGACACCGUUCACUGGGAAGAUCGAGACACGCUGGAGAAUAGGUUCACCAACAGCCGCUACUCAAGAACGACUUAACAGUGUCCACCUUCGAUUUAUCAUCGGCUAUACGCAACUUCUCCUACCUCCUCACCGUUCCAUCAUCCGCUAUCGAUACGCCAAUAAAUUUAGACGAGAUACAAUACAUUUAGAUUCACAAGAUCUCUCUUAUGUUUUCGAUGAUUUCGAAAAGAUCCAAUAAUAUUUAAAGAUAAUAUUCGUUUAUCAAUUGCGAAGGUUUUUUUAAAUAAUAUCGUAAGAUGAAAGAAGCAAGAAUAAAAAGAUGGAAAGAUAAAAAGAAAAAUGUAUUAAAAAAUUUUUACGAACGAAUCAAAAAAGUUACUUAUAUGUAUACGCAUAAUCUAAUCUAAUCUGUCCGGAUUUUUCGCAGACAAUGUGUGCAAUUGUAACGGUGGUACUUGCAACAGCACAAACAUAUUAUCAUUUCUUGUUUGUUAUCACUAUAUUUAUCUAUUUGUGUGUUUUUAUUAAUUUAAAGAAACGUUUAACCAGUUUUUCAAAUGACAGUAUCAAUAAAGAAAAGAAUAGACAAAAUAUUACUUGUUCAAUUGAUUCGAUUUUUUUUUUAUAAUUUUUACCUUUGCUUCAUGAUUCUUGAAUUUCUAGGGAGAGAGCGAUAAUAACGAUAUUGAUAAAGAAUUGAAAAAGAAGUAAUUGAUCACAAUGAAGGAAUAAUAAUGGAUAUUUAAAUGUGAUCACGACGAAUGUUGUAUGAACACUGGAACAAACGCAAUAAGAAAAUAUAGAUGAAAUACACGUAGUUUCUGGUAAAUGCGUUUCAUGACCUCGUUCUUAUCGGUACGAGGAGUCAAUCGAUGACCGCCUGCAAAUCACGGGUCAACGACUCGGUCAACAACGAGCUCCCUCACAAUAACUCUAUAAAUCUCGGGACAGGAUUUCUGCGAAUCGGAAGUCAUAAUGCUGUCGUUUCCACUUCUGAUGCUUGAUGGAACGUUGCAUAUAGAGUUGUUUGCCAGUUUUCUUUCGCUACGUCGGAAAUGAUCUCAUUUACGCGGUAUAGAAAUGUCUUGAUGAAACUUUUUCACCAAUCUUUUGUGCAACUUUUUUAAAGAUAUGUAUAGAAAUAAUAUAUAUGUAUAAAGUAAAUAAGUAAGUUAUAAAUAAUAUGUUAAAUUAAGAAAAAAUUAAUAUUUGAUUUUUUAGAAAAAAAAGUUAAUUUUAAUUUUAAUUUAAUUUAAAAUAUUAAGAAUAAUAUGUAUUAUAUAUUUUUUUAGGUAUUCAACUUCAAAAAAAAAGACAGUUUGAAAACACAAAAAAUUUCAAAUUUCAAAAAUAAAAUCAUCGAACUGCAGUCUACCAUAAGACUUUCAACGCGAAUGAAAUGUUGAAAAAGUCGGGUCUGUUCGCAGUCAAGACUACGUACGAAUGAUAUAAAUAUACUGGGACAAGUUGUUAAAGUCACUAUUCGACAUCUCGACUCGUUGCUUGAUUAACGAGAUACCUAUUUUCAAAGGCUAGGUAAUUUAUAAUGACACUUUUUUUCACUAUUAUUUUGUGAAUUUUGUGAAUUGAAAAUUGAAAAAAAAAAUAUUCACAAAUAAUACAGUCAAAUCUUCGUGGACAAUUGAUUAUAACAAUGAACAAAUGUUGAAUUGUAUUUACUAUAUCUACAAUUAUGAAAGUUUUGUGUUUCCAUAAUCGUAUCUUAUGGAAUAUUUUAUUAUUUAUCUUUUUUUAUGUUUUUCGAGAAAAAAAUUAUCUAAACAAUA